GCCAGCAUGGCAUAGUGGUUUGAGUGUUGGACUGCGAAUCUGAAGACGAGGGUUCGAUUUCCCAGCUCA